rnacentral:rRNA from 1 species
UGGGGAAUCUUGCACAAUGGGGGCAACCCUGAUGCAGCGACGCCGCGUGAGCGAUGAAGCCCUUCGGGGCGUAAAGCUCUUUCGACCGGAACGAUAAUGACGGUACCGGGAGAAGAGGCUGCGGCUAACUACGUGCCAGCAGCCGCGGUAAUACGUAGGCAGCAAGCGUUGUUCGGAGUUACUGGGCGUAAAGAGUGCGUAGGCGGUUUUCUAAGUUCGGUGUGAAAUCUCCCGGCUUAACUGGGAGGGUGCGCCGAAGACUGGGAAGCUGGAGUGUGGGAAAGGCAGGCGGAAUUCCUGGUGUAGCGGUGAAAUGCGUAGAUAUCAGGAGGAACACCGGCGGUGUAGACGGCUUGCUAGACCAUAACUGGCGCUGAGGCACGAAAGCGUGGGUAGCAAACA